AUACGGAGGAUGCGAGCGUUAUCCGGAUUUAUUGGGUUUAAAGGGUGCGUAGGCUGUUUGUCAAGUCAGGGGUGAAAUGCCGCGGCUUAACCGUGGAAUUGCCUUUGAUACUGGCAGGCUUGAAUACUGUUGCCGUGGGAGGAAUGAGUAGUGUAGCGGUGAAAUGCAUAGAUAUUACUCAGAACACCGAUUGCGAAGGCAUCUCACGAAACAGCGAUUGACGCUGAGGCACGAAAGCGUGGGGAUCAAACAGGAUUAGAUACCCUGGUAGUCCACGCAGUAAACGAUGAUAACUAACCGUCGGCGAUACACAGUCGGUGGCCAAGCGAAAGCGAUAAGUUAUCCACCUGGGGAGUACGACCGCAAGGUUGAAACUCAAAUGAAUUGACGGGG
rnacentral:rRNA from 1 species